rnacentral:rRNA from 1 species
GAUGAACGCUGGCGGCGUGCCUAAUACAUGCAAGUCGAACGCUGGAAAUCUAGCUUGCUAGAUUGAAGGAGUGGCGAACGGGUGAGUAAUACAUAAGCAACCUACCCACGAAGACUGGGAUAAUCUCUGGAAACGGGGACUAAUACCGGGUAGGUAAUCGGAAGGCAUCUUCUGAUUAUUAAAGGUUAAAAACACUGGUGGAUGGGCUUAUGGCGCAUUAGUUAGUUGGUGAGGUAACGGCCCACCAAGACGAUGAUGCGUAGCCGGCCUGAGAGGGUGAACGGCCACAUUGGGACUGAGACACGGCCCAGACUCCUACGGGAGGCAGCAGUAGGGAAUUUUCGGCAAUGGGGGAAACCCUGACCGAGCAACGCCGCGUGAGUGAUGACGGCCUUCGGGUUGUAAAGCUCUGUUGUAAGGGAAGAACGGUAGAUAGAGAAUAUCUAAAUGACGGUACCUUACCAGAAAGCCACGGCUAACUACGUG